GCUCCUACCGAUUGAGUGAUCCGGUGAAUUAUUCGGACUGACGCAGUGCUCAGCUUCUGGACGUUGCGUUGGAAAGUUUCAUGAACCUUAUCACUUAGAGGAAGGAGAAGUCGUAACAAGGUUUCCGUAGGUGAACCUGCAGACGGAUCACGAUCGGAAGGCACCACGCCUGAACUCCAUUCACGUGCCCUUACCUCGUUUGCCGUCUUCGCUUGAAAAAAAAAACAUUCGAUUUUUCUUGUUAUUGUUAAAGCUCUUUCGCAUGCUUUUCCCACUU
rnacentral:misc_RNA from 1 species